rnacentral:rRNA from 1 species
UUAAAUUGUAAAAUUAAUUUCUAAAUUAGUAAAAGUUAAAGGCUCUAAAAUUAAAGAUUUUGGCGGUAUUUUAGUCUAUUCAGAGGAAUUUGUUCUAUAAUUGAUAACCCACGAUUAAUCUUACUUAUUUUAAAUAAUUUGUAUAUCGCCGUGAUUGAGUAUUUUUGAAGAAUUUUAAUAUUCAAGAAUUUUAAUUAAAAAAGAAUUCAGGUCAAGGUGCAGUUUAUAAAUAAGGAAGUAAUGAAUUACAAUAAUUUUAUUUAAUUAUGAAUUUAGAUUUGGAAAAAUCUAUGAAGGUGGAUUUGAAAGUAAUUUAAUUAAUUUAAAUUAAAUGAUUUAAGCUCUAAAAUAUGC